rnacentral:rRNA from 1 species
UACGUAGGGGGCGAGCGUUGUCCGGAGUUACUGGGCGUAAAGGGCAUGCAGGCGGUCCGACACGUUUUGUGUGACAGCGGGUGGCUUAACUACCCGAGGAUACGAAAGACGGUAGGACUUGAGGACUCGAGAGGGACACGGAAUUCCGGGUGGAGUGGUGAAAUGCGUAGAGAGUCCGGAGGAACACCGAAGGCGAAGGCAGUGUCCUGGCGAGUGACUGACGCUGAGGUGCGAAAGCCAGGGGAGCGAACGGG